UACGUAGGGUGCAAGCGUUGUCCGGAAUUAUUGGGCGUAAAGAGCUCGUAGGCGGCUCGUUGCGUCGGCUGUGAAAACCCGCAGCUCAACUGUGGGCUUGCAGCUGAUACGGGCGGGCUGGGAUUCGGUAGGGGAGACUGGAAUUCCUGGUGUAGCGGUGAAAUGCGCAGAUAUCAGGAGGAACACCGGUGGCGAAGGCGGGUCUCUGGGCCGAUACUGACGCUGAGGAGCGAAAGCGUGGGGAGCGAACAGG
rnacentral:rRNA from 1 species